UGUGUGGAUGCCGAAAAUAAAAUAAAGUACUAAUAAUCUACGUAGCUGCUGAUGAUGUUUGUUCUAAAUUGGCCAUGUCAUUCGUACAAAAACAGAGAUUUGUUCUAACGUUGAAUGAUCAAUAUAAAAAGAAGUUGUGACAUUUAAGAUAACACUCUACUAUACUCACAAAUGAGACAGAAAUUAACAGCUAUACGCCGAC
rnacentral:lncRNA from 1 species